rnacentral:rRNA from 1 species
AUUGAACGCUGGCGGCAUGCUUUACACAUGCAAGUCGAGCGGCAGCGCGGGCUUCGGCCUGGCGGCGAGUGGCGAACGGGUGAGUAAUACAUCGGAACGUGCCCAGUAGUGGGGGAUAGCUCGGCGAAAGCCGGAUUAAUACCGCAUACGACCUGAGGGUGAAAGCGGGGGAUCUUCGGACCUCGCGCUAUUGGAGCGGCCGAUGGCAGAUUAGCUAGUUGGUGGGGUAAAGGCCUACCAAGGCGACGAUCUGUAGCUGGUCUGAGAGGACGACCAGCCACACUGGGACUGAGACACGGCCCAGACUCCUACGGGAGGCAGCAGUGGGGAAUUUUGGACAAUGGGCGAAAGCCUGAUCCAGCAAUGCCGCGUGUGUGAUGAAGGUCUUCGGGUUGUAAAGCACUUUUGGCGGGAACGAAAAGGACUGUGCCAAUACCACGGUUCGAUGACGGUACCCGCAGAAUAAGCACCGGCUAACUACGUG